rnacentral:rRNA from 1 species
UGCGCAGGCGGCUUAUUAAGUCAGUGGUGAAAUCUCUCGGCUCAACCGAGAAACUGCCAUUGAAACUGAUAAGCUUGAGUAUAGUUGUAGUAGGCGGAAUAUAGCAUGUAGCGGUGAAAUGCUUAGAUAUGCUAUAGAACACCGAUCGCGAAGGCAGCUUACUAAACUAUUACUGACGCUCAUGCACGAAAGCGUGGGGAGCAAACAGGAUUAGAUACCCUGGUAGUCC